rnacentral:lncRNA from 1 species
AUGGAGGAAGUUGCUGAUGAAUUGAGAACAAAAGACCAUCAAAAUGAAGCCUCCGAUAAGGUGAACGGUAGUGCCUCCCAGGAAGCUGAUGGCUCCGUCAACAGCAAUAGUGAUCUGCUAAGUGAUAAUAUUUCUACACUAAAAUCAAAGUUGUCUGAUCUUCAAAAUUCCUCAGAUAAUGUAGAAUCUAAUUGUUCUGAAUUAGAUUCCAUAGUUGAAGGAAGCAGAGAAAAUGAAAACACCGGCACUGAAUCCAUUUCAACCCCUGCAGUUUCAGGUGAAGUUUCAAGAACAGUUGCUCUUGAAGCUGAAGCCAAAACUAUUGGAUCUGAUGAUAUCACAGAUGCCUUAGCUGGAAUAGGGGCCUCAAAAAGUGAGAAAGAAGGUGUUAAUAUGGAAUCAGAUCAUAAUAUGGAGGUUGAGACUGAUGACAAUGAAGUCAACACUUCCAAAGUAUGCAAUGAUUCUCUUAAUCCUGAGGUGCAAGACUCUAAUUCGGUUGAUAUGGGCAGUCCUGUCUCAAACACUUCAAUGCAAGAUGAAGAGAGUGUGGGUCCGAAUGAUGUAGAACUCAAGAAUCUGGCUGAAGAAGGCGGCAAGAUUUCGAGUAAUGAAAUAGGUAGUGAAGUUGUGGCUCCCUCCAAUGUGAAGAGUCCAUCAACAAAUUCUGAUCUUAGUGGUGAAGUAAGUUUAGCAAAAAAGUCUGAAGGAACAAAUAUUUCAAAUGCAGAAAAUUUAGCAGAUCAUACGGAAAACUCUGACUCAGCGGAUAAUUUAGAAAAUGCAGAUAUUGUUGCUUCUGAUAGUCCUGGUGAAAGUACUGACUGUGCAGACUCUGCAGAUCCAUUAAGUGCAGCUGUUAGAAAUUCUGCUGAGAAUGUAGAGACUGACCCUUCUUCGAAAGGCGGCGAAUCGGAAGAUCUAGAAAGUAUCGAUGAUGCAAACAGUAAGAAAUGCUCUGAAGACAAAACAGAUAAACCUGUGAGUCAUGAUGAUAUUGAAAACCAGGCGGACACAUUUGAGCAAGACGGGCAUAGCAACGAACCAACAGAGUCAACUAGCUUUUUGAAUAUGGAUCAAGACUCUGUUCUGAUGAUGGAGAGCCAGAUGCAAGGAGUAUGCAAGAGCACAUUGAAGAUCCGUUUAGCAGUGGACCAGAGGAGUCUGCUCAAACCUUAA